rnacentral:rRNA from 1 species
ACGGAAGGCAGCAGUGAGGAAUAUUGGUCAAUGGACGGAAGUCUGAACCAGCCAAGUCGCGUGAAGGAUGAAGGUAUUAUGUAUUGUAAACUUCUUUAGCAGUGGAGUAAUAAGGGGAUCGCGAUCCCUGAUGCAAGUACACUGAGAAUAAGGAUCGGCUAACUCCGUGCCAGCAGCCGCGGUAAUACGGAGGAUCCGAGCGUUAUCCGGAUUUAUUGGGUUUAAAGGGUGCGCAGGCGGUCUUUUAAGUCAGUGGUCAAAUCGUGGUGCUCAACGCCAUCCCGCCAUUGAUACUGGGAGACUUGAUUGCGGUUGAGGUAGGCGGAAUUCGUCGUGUAGCGGUGAAAUGCAUAGAUAUGACGAAGAACACCGAUUGCGUAGGCAGCUUACCAAGCCGUAAAUGACGCUCAUGCACGAAAGUGCGGGGAUCGAACAGGAUUAGAUACCCUGGUA